rnacentral:sRNA from 1 species
GCCAGGUGAAGUGGCUCAUACCUGUAAUCCCAUCAGCAAGGGAGGCUGAGGCAAGGGGAUCUCUUGAGUUCAAAGCCAGCCUCGGCAAAAGUAAGGCACUAAGCAACUCAGUGAGACCUUGUCUCUA